rnacentral:rRNA from 1 species
ACUCCUACGGGAGGCAGCAGUGGGGAAUAUUGCACAAUGGGCGGAAGCCUGAUGCAGCGACGCCGCGUGAGGGAUGACGGCCUUCGGGUUGUAAACCUCUUUCAGCACGGAAGAAGCGAGAGUGACGGUACGUGCAGAAGAAGCGCCGGCUAACUACGUGCCAGCAGCCGCGGUAAUACGUAGGGCGCAAGCGUUGUCCGGAAUUAUUGGGCGUAAAGAGCUCGUAGGCGGUUUGUCGCGUUCUGCUGUGAAAGCCCGGGGCUUAACCCGGCUGGUGCA